rnacentral:misc_RNA from 1 species
AACGCACAUUGCGCCCAUCAGUAUUCUGUUGGGCAUGCCUGUUCGAGCGUCAUUUCCACCCUCAAGCCCUGGCUGCUUGGUGUUGGGGUGCUCUACAGCGUGCUGUAGGCCCCGAAAAUCAGUGGCGGUCUCGCCGGGACCCCGAGUGUAGUAGAUUUCUCUCGCUCAGGGGCUUCCGGCGGGUUUCCAGCCGUUAAACCCCCCCCAAAACAAAACGUUGACCUCGGAUCAGGUAGGAAUACCCGCUGAACUUAA